CUACGGGAGGCAGCAGUGGGGAAUCUUGCACAAUGGGGGCAACCCUGAUGCAGCGACGCCGCGUGAGCGAUGAAGCCCUUCGGGGUGUAAAGCUCUUUCGGCCGGAACGAUAAUGACGGUACCGGCAGAAGAAGCUGCGGCUAACUACGUGCCAGCAGCCGCGGUAAUACGUAGGCAGCGAGCGUUGUUCGGAGUUACUGGGCGUAAAGAGUGCGUAGGCGGUGCUCUAAGUUUGGUGUGAAAUCUCCCGGCUCAACUGGGAGGGUGCGCCGAAAACUGGAGUGCUCGAGUAUGGGAGAGGUAAGCGGAAUUCCUGGUGUAGCGGUGAAAUGCGUAGAUAUCAGGAGGAACACCUGCGGUGUAGACGGCUUACUGGACCAUGACUGACGCUGAGGCACGAAAGCGUGGGGAGCAAACAGGAUUAGAUACCCGUGUAGUCCU
rnacentral:rRNA from 1 species